CCUACGGGUGGCAGCAGUGGGGGAUAUUGCACAAUGGGGGAAACCCUGAUGCAGCGACGCCGCGUGUGGGAAGACGGUCCUCUGGAUUGUAAACCACUGUCCCCAGGGACGAAGAUGACGGUACCUGGGGAGGAAGCUCCGGCUAACUACGUGCCAGCAGCCGCGGCAAUACGUAGGGCGCGAGCGUUGUCCGGAAUUACUGGGGGGAAAGGGGGCGUAGGCGGGGAUGCAAGUUGGGUGUCAAAGCUAGCGGCUCAACUGGUAGUCGCACUCAAAACUGCAGCUCUUGAGUGAAGUAGAGGCAGGCGGAAUUCCUAGUGUAGCGGUGAAAUGCGUAGAUAUUAGGAGGAACACCAGUGGCGAAGGCGGCCUGCUGGGCUUUUACUGACGCUGAGGCUCGAAAGUGUGGGGAGCAAACAGGAUUAGAUACCCUUGUAGUC
rnacentral:rRNA from 1 species